GAUGAACGCUGGCGGCGUGCCUAAUACAUGCAAGUCGAGCGAACGGACGAGAAGCUUGCUUCUCUGAUGUUAGCGGCGGACGGGUGAGUAACACGUGGAUAACCUACCUAUAAGACGGGGAUAACUUCGGGAAAACGGAGCUAAUACCGGAGAAUAUUUUGAACCGCAGGGUUCAAAAGUGAAAGACGGUCUUGCUGUCACUUAUAGAUGGAUCCGCGCUGCAUUAGCUAGUUGGUAAGGUAACGGCUUACCAAGGCAACGAUGCAUAGCCGACCUGAGAGGGUGAUCGGCCACACUGGAACUGAGACACGGUCCAGACUCCUACGGGAGGCAGCAGUAGGGAAUCUUCCGCAAUGGGCGCAAGCCUGACGCAGCCACGCCGCGUGAGUGAUGAAGGUCUUCGGAUCGUAAAACUCUGUUAUUAGGGAAGAACAUAUGUGUAAGUAACUGUGCACAUCUUGACGGUACCUAAUCAGAAAGCCACGGCUAACUACGUG
rnacentral:rRNA from 1 species